AUUGAACGCUGGCGGCAGGCCUAACACAUGCAAGUCGAACGGUAACAGGAAGAAGCUUGCUUCUUUGCUGACGAGUGGCGGACGGGUGAGUAAUGUCUGGGAAACUGCCUGGUGGAGGGGGAUAACUACUGGAAACGGUAGCUAAUACCGCAUAACGUCGCAAGACCAAAAAGGGGGACCUUCGGGCCUCUUGCCAUCGGAUGUGCCCAGAUGGGAUUAGCUAGUAGGUGGGGUAACGGCUCACCUAGGCGACGAUCCCUAGCUGGUCUGAGAGGAUGACCAGCCACACUGGAACUGAGACACGGUCCAGACUCCUACGGGAGGCAGCAGUGGGGAAUAUUGCACAAUGGGCGCAAGCCUGAUGCAGCCAUGCCGCGUGUAUGAAGAGGGCCUUCGGGUUGUAAAGUACUUUCAGCGGGGAGGAAGGGAGUAAAGUUAAUACCUUUGCUCAUUGACGUUACCCGCAGAAGAAGCACCGGCUAACUCCGUG
rnacentral:rRNA from 1 species